rnacentral:rRNA from 1 species
AAUUGAACUCGCUGUGAAGAUGCAGUGUAUCCGCGGCAAGACGGAAAGACCCCGUGAACCUUUACUAUAGCUUGACACUGAACAUUGAGCCUUGAUGUGUAGGAUAGGUGGGAGGCUUUGAAGCGUGGACGCCAGUCUGCGUGGAGCCAACCUUGAAAUACCACCCUUUAAUGUUUGAUGUUCUAACGUGGACCCGUAAUCCGGGUUGCGGACAGUGUCUGGUGGGUAGUUUGACUGGGGCGGUCUCCUCCUAAAGAGUAACGGAGGAGCACGAAGGUUGGCUAAUCCUGGUCGGACAUCAGGAGGUUAGUGCAAUGGCAUAAGCCAGCUUGACUGCGAGCGUGACGGCGCGAGCAGGUGCGAAAGCAGGUCAUAGUGAUCCGGUGGUUCUGAAUGGAAGGGCCAUCGCUCAACGGAUAAAAGGUACUCCGGGGAUAACAGGCUGAUACCGCCCAAGAGUUCAUAUCGACGGCGGUGUUUGGCACCUCGAUGUCGGCUCAUCACAUCCUGGGGCUGAAGUAGGUCCCAAGGGUAUGGCUGUUCGCCAUUUAAAGUGGUACGCGAGCUGGGUUUAGAACGUCGUGAGACAGUUCGGUCCCUAUCUGCCGUGGGCGCUGGAGAACUGAGGGGGGCUGCUCCUAGUACGAGAGGACCGGAGUGGACGCAUCACUGGUGUUCGGGUUGUCAUGCCAAUGGCACUGCCCGGUAGCUAAAUGCGGAAGAGAUAAGUGCUGAAAGCAUCUAAGCACGAAACUUGCCCCGA